GGAAAGAUGGAUGCUGGACUGAUUGCUUCCCUGCUGUCUCUGUGAACAGUCCAGAAAAAGAGAGUGAGUGAGAGAGUGAGAGUAUGUGUGUGAGAGAGGGAGAGAGAGAGAGAGAGAGAGAGAAGUUUCUUUGCUCUUGCUUCAAAGGGCACUCUCCAAACAACAUUCUCCAAAUGGGACUCAGCUCUCUCUUUUACAGCGCUGCUUAUUAAAAACGCCCUGGAUCCGAGCAGCCGCAUCAAAGAGAAUAGGGAAUCUUCCCCUCAGACUGCAGUCGUCCUGCUCUGACCCAACACGUUAAUGACAAAUCCCCUCCAUUAUUGGGCGGACUCUGGAGUCCCGGAUGGAUUCCCUCCCCCGAGCAGAUGAGUCCAAUCAUUAGAACAGCCAAUAGGAAGAACGGCUCUUCAAUCAGGUUCCCUUGUUCUGUUCUGCAUUAUGCCAGUGGUGGUCAAAGGCUGACUUUGUAACAAGAGUGCAUUACCUUUAAUACAAACCAGAAGGGCCUUGAAUAUCAUGCCUCUGGUUUGCACCUGACUGACUGGGGGCCAUUUUGAGAGAGAGAAUAGCGAGGGGAUCAACAGCCAUGAAUCACUGCGAGCCGAGCAUCUAUCAGCCUCAUGGGCCUGCUCUGAGACGGGGAGUGCAUUUGUCACCGUGAGAUGAAGUCUCCAUAUGAGGGGCCGACUCAAACAGAGAGACACUCAUUCUUGUCUAUUGUUGCCACCUGAACGUCCAUUACUGAAACAGGAACACGAUGGCACGAUACAAAACUUGUCAUUAGAUUCAUGUGAGCACACAUCCACAUCAUAAUAGAGUGUUAACCCAUAUUAAAUUGAGAUAGUCUCAGUUUGUUAUGUA